ACACUGGGACGAGGAAACUGAGCUCCGGGCACAGCUCAGCCCGUGGGAAUUGCCCAACUGGGCUGUCGCAAUGGGCUAGGAGGCCAGGGUCGGCCCUGCCGCUGGCUGCCAGGACCAGGCCUCCUGGCCACCCUAAGCGCCUAGAAUCUGGGGACAAUAGCGGCCAAGCAGUUAACAUCUGCUCUGCGAUGGCGGUAAAAAGGAAAGCAAAAUUUCGAUCUAUUUUUCUGGGAAGAGAGUAAGAGAUUCGGGCUCUCCCGGCAGGACCCGAGCUUUGCAACACACCGGUGUUCCUUUAAGUCCAAAAGAGGGCCGAGAAACCAGCUGGCCCACAGUUCACAGAACAUCCCAGCAGGAAUCCGUACCCCUGUGGAGACUGCUGAGAAACUGGAGCCUAUCCAGGCCACGGCCACGGCCGGGGAUCAGCCCCAACCUACGGAGCCCAUUAACAGUCGCUACCUGGUAAUUUCUAAAGCACCCACUGGGUGGGUGCGUGGUCCACGGGGGGCCACAAAAGCCAAGGACACAAGUUCACUGCCUGCAAGGAGCUUGCCCGUGGGAGAUAAAGCUGGUAACGGGCUCGACACCCAGGCAGCCCUUCCGGGAGGCGGAGAUGGGCUCCAGAAAUGAACAGGAUUCAGAGGCUGCAUCCAAGGACGGAGAGACCAAAGUCCUGGUUGCACCAUUUGGCAGCGUGUCGCCUGACCUCCAGGAGCCUGGGUGUCUUUGUCUUUUAAAUGGGAUUCACAGAGACCCUACCUCUUAGGGUUAGCGUGAGGGCAGAGGGAAAUAAGGGGAGUUCCCGUGGUGGCUCAGCAAUAAUGAACUUGGCUAAUAUCCCUAAGGACGAGCGUUCAAUCCUUGGCCUUGCUCAGGGGGUUAAAGAUCUGGUGUUGCUGUGAGUUGUGGUAUAGGUCACAGACAUGGCUUGGAUCCUGUGUUGCUGUAGCUGUGGUGUAGGCUGGACGCCGUAGAUCUGAUUCGACCCCUAGCCUGGGAACUUCCAUAUGCCUUGGGCGUGACCCUAAAAAGCAAAAAAAAAAAAAGAAGGAAAUUCAGGAAAACAACAUGAAUGAACCUCAAAGACAUGACCCCAGUUGAAAGAGGGCAGGUGUGCAAAGUGGCACACGGAAUGGUUCUUUUCCUAGGAAGUGGCCAGAGCGUUAAGUAAAUCCCUAGAGAUGAGAAGCAGAUUAGUGGUUGCCAAGGGCCGGGGGAGGGGAAAGGGGUGUCUUUUUGGGGUGAUGACAAUAUGUUGGAACUAGAUAGGGGGUGAUUGCAUGGGAAUAGGUGAAAGGUCACGGGACAGUGCAUUUUAAAACGGUGCAUUUCGGAAUUCCCUGGUGGCCUAGCGAUUAAAAGAGGCAGAGUCCUUCAAUCCCCAGCCUGAGGUCGAGGCCAAAAACAUUAAAAUGAAAUCAAAUGGUUCAUUUUUUGGUAUGUGAAUGUCACCUCAAUUAAAAAAAUGUCUUGAAGGAAAUUUGUUUGCACAAACCUAGUGAAUGGGACACUCGCCAGGGCCAGACCCCAGACACUCUGCCUCCUGUCACCCUCCAGCCUGGGCUGAGUGAGCUGGGUCACCCUCUGUCCAGGCCUGGACACCCUCAGCCUGGCCGGUGGGGCCUAGCGGAGCCCAGACAUGGGGGCGGGGUGGGGGGCUGCCCCACACAGUUCGGGGAGAGGCCAGUGUCCCCAGGCUGCUGGGAGGACCAAGUUACAUCAGAGGUCGUGUGCGAGAUGCGUUACAAAGAGAGAGGGAUGAGCUCCAGGUGCACUGGCUGCACCUGCCAUGGUGCACCUGCCGUGGCGGGACGAGGGGAGCACGAGGGGAUGUGCGCAGCCAGGGAGCCCACAGGGGUCAAGGCAGAGUCCCCGCCUGGCCCAGACCCGGGGACAGUCAGCUCCUCUGCCCACCCCCACCCCCCUCCCUCUCCUGGCCUCCCUGGCUCCCCCUCAGAGUCCCAUCCUAAUCCUGCCAGGAGAGGGAGCCCAGGGCAGUGGGUCUCCGUCCUGUGUCCCCCCUGCAGGCAGCCAGGCCAGAGAGAGAGCUGUCCAGCCCGCAGCCACGGAGGAGGCGCCCGCCACCCAGCUGACAUGGGGGCGGGUCUCAGGCUUUCCCCACUGGGCCACCACUGCCAGGGCAGCCUCCUGGGCUUUGGGCCACCAGGCGGAAAGGAUAAAAAAGGCCACAUGCCUCCUGCCACGUGGAGGCAUCCACGCACCAGGGGCAACUCUGUCACACAGAACUCGGGUGCCAGAGGACCACGUGGGCAUUCAGCAGGGCGAGUUGGCAGGACCGACACCACUGCCUGUUGGGAUCCCAGGACUCGGGGAGGCCAUGCUGCUGAGGGUGCCCUAGCCGGCCUGGCCCAGGCUGGGAGCCACCAGUAUGAGACGCCACUUGACUGGCAAGAAACUCACCUUCCGAGGAACCUGCCAGUCUUCAAACUCAUAAAUGCCCUCCAGAGUUAGUGACCCCUGAACUACGGGCAGAUGUUAAGUGCCCAUAACCCUUUCCGGCUGGUGAUAACCCCGCGGCACUCUUGGCUUUUCUUGCGAUGGGUUUGCUGUUUUCUCCAAGGAGUGGGUUUCAUCAGAUCCGGGUGCCCAAGACCGUGGCAAGGACCCAGCCACGGAAGGAGGGGCUGGACGGCGGCUCACAGUCCCCUUGUGCAGCUCCAGCGCGGGGCAAAAUCCCGCACAGGCCUGCGGUGAGGCCUCGCAAACAAGCAGCAGCAUGAUCCUGCCGGCCAGCUCAGCCCCCAGCCUUGGCCCAGAGCGGCUCUGGCCGCCCCGCCUCUGGCUCCCCUCCUGCAGCCCAUGCCGACCGCCCGCCACCAGAGGCCUUGCCAGCCGCCGAGGCAGCCCCUUGCGUCCCGUCCCCAGAGCCCUCAGCAGCCCUGAAGUCAUUCUGCUCCAGGAUCUGCUCCGUGUUUAUGUCCUGCCUCGGUCUCCGGGGGGCCUGACGUGCUCCCUGCAGCUUGUCCCCAGCACCCAGCCCCCGCGGGAACAAGGACCCGAGACGGAAACGGCAAAAGCGCUGUGAGCAAGACACCUGCCCGCGGAUCCCAGCCCCGCUGCCAGCUGUCUUUCUCCAUCGCUUGGCCGGCCCGAGGAUCUCAAGAAUGGAAAGGGGUUUAGGGGGUCUGGAGACCACCCCACCACCCAAGAAAGGAGCCCGAGGUUAACUCCCACGUUCUCAGGAGAGCCGCCGACGUGUUGAUGCAAGCGCCAAAUAAUCGAAUUGCAGGUGGGGGUGGGGAGGAGAUAAUUGAAUAUCAGCGAGGGGCUGUUGUCAGGUCAGCCAGUUCCUGGCGUGUUCUCGUAUGUGUGUUUUCUGAGAGAGCCCCCAAAUAAAACAGUUCUAUUAUUUUAUGCC
rnacentral:lncRNA from 1 species